AACGACCCAGAGAAAAUACCCAAUUUUACUAUCCAUACUAAGUCUUAGUAUGGAUAGUAAAAUUGGGUAUUUUCUCUGAGUUGAAUAUAAAAA
rnacentral:sRNA from 1 species